rnacentral:rRNA from 1 species
GAUGAACGCUGGCGGCGUGCCUAAUACAUGCAAGUCGAGCGAACGGACGAGAAGCUUGCUUCUCUGAUGUUAGCGGCGGACGGGUGAGUAACACGUGGAUAACCUACCUAUAAGACUGGGAUAACUUCGGGAAACCGGAGCUAAUACCGGAUGAUAUUUUGAACCGCAUGGUUCAAAAGUGAAAGACGGUCUUGCUGUCACUUAUAGAUGGAUCCGCGCUGCAUUAGCUAGUUGGUAAGGUAACGGCUUACCAAGGCAACGAUGCAUAGCCGACCUGAGAGGGUGAUCGGCCACAAUGGAACUGAGACACGGUCCAGACUCCUACGGGAGGCAGCAGUAGGGAAUCUUCCGCAAUGGGCGAAAGCCUGACGGAGCAACGCCGCGUGAGUGAUGAAGGUCUUCGGAUCGUAAAACUCUGUUAUUAGGGAAGAACAUAUGUGUAAGUAACUGUGCACAUCUUGACGGUACCUAAUCAGAAAGCCACGGCUAACUACGUG